GAGGCGUCCCGGACAGUGGCUUGGUGGCGCGCAGUUCCCCUUGACUGUGCGCGCCCCCGUCUGGGCUCCUUUGCAGAGGACUCGGUAGCUGCAGCUCCCGGAGCACAGCGGACAGAGCUGCGGGCUGCGUGCGCCCCUGCUGCCACCGGGCCUGCCGCGGUGGCUCCCGCGCCCCGCGGCGACUUCCGCUCCCGCGCUUCUCUUUGUUCAAGUCCCCGAGCGGCGGCGGGGUCGGAGCCCGCGCCUUGGGCGACUGAGGCGGCCGCAGUCCGCGCCCCGGCGCCCUGGCGAUGCCGGACCAGAUCUCCGUGUCGGAAUUCGUGGCCGAGGCCCUUGAGGACUACAAGGCACCCACUGCCUCUAGCUUCACCAUGGGCACGGCCCAGUGCCGGAACACCGCGGCGGCCAUCGAGGAGGUUUAGUCUCCACUGCCAGCUGCCAUGGGCAAGCAGAACAGCAAGCUGGAUCCUGAGGUGCUGCAGGACUUGCAGAAACACAGGGAGUUCGCUGACCAUGAGUUUCAGGAAUGGUAGAAGGGCUCCCUCAAUGAGUGUCCCAAUGGCCACUUGAAAAAAUUUCAAGAUCUAGGCCAACUUCUUCCCCUACAGAGACACCUCCAAGUUCGCUGAAUAUGUCUUCCACAUGUUUGACACCAACAGUGACAGCACCAUCGACUUGGGAGUGUUCAUCAUUGCUCUGAGUGUAACCUCCCUGGGCAAGCUGGA
rnacentral:lncRNA from 1 species